UAUGUAGGGUGCAAGCGUUAAUCGGAAUUACUGGGCGUAAAGCGAGCGCAGGCGGUCGUGUAAGACAGAUGUGAAAUCCCCGGGCUCAACCUGGGAACUGCAUUUGUGACUGCACGGCUAGAGUGCGUCAGAGGGGGAUGGAAUUCCGCGUGUAGCAGUGAAAUGCGUAGAUAUGCGGAGGAACACCGAUGGCGAAGGCAAUCCCCUGGGCCUGCACUGACGCUCAUGCACGAAAGCGUGGGGAGCAAACAGG
rnacentral:rRNA from 1 species